rnacentral:lncRNA from 1 species
GCCAGAACCAGAAAUGCUGCGCCCCUGGGCUGGUGCCUUUCGGCUGGGAUCCGGGACUGGACAAAGGGAAGAGGGAGCUGUCCCCCGGAGCCACCCGACUACACUGUGGAAGCAAAGCGACGACUCUGCCCUAAGAGAAAUACUUUGGAAGCCCGGGUACCUCUCCCCACCCGCAGAGAUGGAGGCUAACUCCUAAUUAGGCCACCUUCCUGAUAGGCACUGCUUGGCCAGCGAUCGGUAAGGCGUUUAAGUCACGGAGUCGAAGCCAAGGCUCCAGUCUAGUGGGAAGGGCCGCGGGGGAACGGACGGCGGGGCCGAGGCGGCACGGACCGAGCGGACUGUCCAGGGCGUGGUGUAAAAGCCCGGGGGCGCUGACACUUGCUCUGGGAACCUCUUGCAGCCAGGAAAUCUACCCCACUUCAGGGCUGGGUGUCACCCUACGGUGGAGCGCCCUGUGCCACUCACGUGGGCUAGGAACUCAUCAGGGAGGUCGAGCCUUGAGUCUGGGAGAUGUCCCGAGACGCCCAAGGGGACAGCUGCAUUGUCCGGGCCCAGCCUAAGACCUCCUCUUCUCCCUUGAGGCCAGGCGGGACUGGAGACUGAGAAGUCUCCGGGACUUCUCAGGGGUCCACCAAGCCCCUGCGCCUGGAGCUGCCAUACGAUCCCGGUCCUGAGACAGGUGCGAUUCUCUUUGGAAACUACAGGGAGCAGAGCCUGCCCUUGAAGUCUCAGUGCCCCAGGACUGCUCUUGCCUCCUUAAUGCAGAGUGGCACCAACAGCUUCCCGAGCAGGCGGAUAACAGACGCUCCCCCAGUUCUCUGCAGCAGAAGCCUCUCUAUCCUAGGUCUGGAGUCCUGCCCGUGGGCCCAGCGAAAGACCUUCAGGCCUGGGAGGCCUCUAUGAAGGCGGCCUCUGCAAACAGACGAUGCAGAGGCCGAGGGUCGCUGCGCAGGGGUGAGGUGCCUAGCCCUUGGAGCUAGCCCAUCAACGCGGUUCCACUGGGAGCUUCCAUCCCAUCUCCAGAUGAAGACCAGGCUGUCCUUGCCUAGAAGAUAGGUUUAAUACCUCCUGCUGACAGUUCCAGUGGUCUUGAAAUCCCAGUUCUUGAGUCCCUAUUAUCUGUUAAACCAAAGACUCAGGAACUGCUGGCCAAACCCCUUGGCCUCCAAAUACUUAGGAAACUUCUUUCUCAGCCAGGGGGUCACAGGGAGAAGAAAGCCGGAUCCUGGCGACCUUGUAUCGAGAUUAAAGACAUUUUAGAAAACAUCA